GCUAGCAAUCGCGAUCAGCAACGCCGCGGUGAAUGCGUUCCCGGGCCCUGUACACACCGCCCGUCAACUCAUGAAAGUGGGUAGCACCCGAAGCCGGUGGCCCGACCCUUGUGGGGGGAGCCGUCUAAGGUGAGACUCGUGAUUGGGACUAAGUCUAACAAGGUAGCCGUACCGGAAGGUGCGGCUGG
rnacentral:rRNA from 1 species